AACUCUACUCUGGUUGUUAGGACUGAUGUGAUCUCUGCUGUACCAUUCUUCACAGUAGCUGAGAUGGAGAGUGGAAGAUAUUCCUUCAUGUGCUUCAAAGUACUGUAGCAGUAUGUAUGUUCUGCAUUCUCAGUUCAACGUUGUAACCCACCCUAUUCUACAGCAUGCCACUGCAUCUGAGUAAGCAUCAGUAUGAGCAAUGACUUGCCCAAAGCCAUAUUAAUAGAGGUGCGUAUGUCUUAGUUGGUCAGUCAACUGAUGCAAAGCAUAAGUCGUGUAUACAUAUGUAUAAUGAUUGAUUUAUUUUUGAAACUUGUAAAAAAUGCAUUUACCCUUUGCCUCUUUACCAAUUUAAUCAGAUGACCCCUUUAGGUGUCACCCAACCUGAAUCAUUCUGUCAUUCAACAUUGUUAAAAUUCAGUUACGGUUGGACAUUUAAGCAGUUGGAUUCAUCCAACCUGAAUUAUUUUGCCAUUAAUACUAAUUUCAAAUUUGAUUAGAACUGGCCAACAUGUUCAAAUAUUCUAAGACAUGGAGUAAUGGAGGCACAAACUGGCGGUAACUGUGGAAGUUUUGCUUUCUCACAGAAUCAGGCUACUGUAGCAUUCUAAGCAAUGGGCUCUUGUACUGGCACUUCUGUGUUGCUAACUCAUGCUCUGCUUCUCAUAUUACCAAGGUUUACUUUCAGCAUCUGUUCAAUAAAUAUUCUCCUGACAAUGCUGAAAGGAAAUGUAAUAGGACUGUAAUGACCUAUUAGAUUUUAGCAUGAUGUAAACUAAGCCAAUUCUCAUUACAAUAAUGUGUAUUUGUUUUAAGACUGUGGUCUUGUUUAUUUUUACAGAAGAAUAGGACAUCCAUAGGAAUGGUUUUUUAUUAAUGACUUCUCCUGUGCUUGUUAUUAGUCACCAGCUGACACCUCUUCCAGUCAGUCUUUAUUCCUAGAAUUGCAUCAUGCAACAAAUACAUCUUGACAUUCUUUGCUGUUGAUGCAAGAACUGAACAAGUCUGAAUUGUUAUUCAAGUUCCUGUUUUAACUUACUGUCAUCAUCCCGUGGUAAAUCCUUUCUGUUUAAUUGUAUCAAAACUAUAUUUUGUAUGUUUAUUCCUUUUGGUGAUAACUUGGUUGUCAUAACCAUGGUU
rnacentral:lncRNA from 7 species